rnacentral:rRNA from 1 species
AGCGAACGCUGGCGGCAAGCUUAACACAUGCAAGUCGAACGAUGUAGCAAUACAUAGUGGCGGACGGGUGCAUAACACGUGGGUAUCUGCCUUUAGGUACGGAAUAACUCAGGGAAACUUGAGCUAAUACCGUAUAAUAUCUCUGGAUCAAAGAUUUAUCGCCUAAAGAUGAGCCCGCGGCAGAUUAGCUAGUUGGUGGGGUAAUGGCCUACCAAGGCGACGAUCUGUAGCUGGUCUUAGAGGAUGAUCAGCCACACUGGGACUGAGACACGGCCCAGACUCCUACGGGAGGCAGCAGUGGGGAAUAUUGGACAAUGGGGGCAACCCUGAUCCAGCUAUGCCGCGUGAGUGAUGAAGGCCUUAGGGUUGUAAAGCUCUUUUAGAUGGGAAGAUAAUGACGGUACCAUCAGAAAAAGCCCCGGCUAACUUCGUGCCAGCCGCCGCCGUAA